UUCGAUGUUACAGGUGAGCAAAUGUCAGUCGCCCACAGUUACACAACCAGGAUGGUAAUCCCAGGAUCUGAACCAAGCUGCUUCUGAUGAGGACACUCAAGCACAGAAAGUUUUCAUCACUUACUCAAGGUCACGCAACUAAGCAAGCAGUGUAGGGCGUCAACUGGCAGGGCAGAUUCUGCUAUUACCCCC